rnacentral:rRNA from 1 species
UACGAAGGGUGCAAGCGUUACUCGGAAUUACUGGGCGUAAAGCGUGCGUAGGUGGUUUGUUAAGUCUGAUGUGAAAGCCCUGGGCUCAACCUGGGAAUGGCAUUGGAUACUGGCAGUCUAGAGUGCGGUAGAGGGUAGCGGAAUUCCCGGUGUAGCAGUGAAAUGCGUAGAUAUCGGGAGGAACAUCCGUGGCGAAGGCGGCUACCUGGGCCGUACCUGACGCUGAGGCGCGAAGGCUAGGGGAGCGAACGGG